rfam:Nitrococcus mobilis Nb-231 1099646003880, whole genome shotgun sequence.
GAUCCCGCGAGGGAUGGUCUGAAGGAAGCCCGAGUGCAAACCUGCGAGCUGACGAACAGAAAUUUCAUAGAAGGCGUAGCCGCUGGGCGAGUCAGCACAAGAUGACGAAGCCCAACAGUACGAUGGUAGCGUAAAUGGGGCCGUUGUGCAGGGAAAGUUGUCGCU